GAUGAACGCUAGCGGCAGGCCUAACACAUGCAAGUCGAGGGGUAGAAGCUUUCGGGCUUUGAGACCGGCGCACGGGUGCGUAACGCGUAUGCAAUCUGCCUUGUACUGAGGGAUAGCCCAGAGAAAUUUGGAUUAACACCUCAUAGUAUUUUUGCCUGGCAUCAGGUGAUUAUUAAAGGUUGCGGUACAAGAUGAGCAUGCGUCCCAUUAGCUAGUUGGUAUGGUAACGGCAUACCAAGGCUACGAUGGGUAGGGGUCCUGAGAGGGAGAUCCCCCACACUGGUACUGAGACACGGACCAGACUCCUACGGGAGGCGGCAGUGAGGAAUAUUGGUCAAUGGGCGCAAGCCUGAACCAGCCAUGCCGCGUGCAGGAUGAAGCAUCUAUGGUGUGUAAACUGCUUUUGUACGGGAAGAAACACUGCUACGUGUAGCAGCUUGACGGUACCGCAAGAAUAAGGAUCGGCUAACUCCGUGCCAGCCGCCGCCGUAACAC
rnacentral:rRNA from 1 species